rnacentral:lncRNA from 7 species
UUCUCAGAUGUGUAAUGCUGCAAUCUACUUUUAAACAGCUGCUGUGGCUCCUGAUCAAAGACAGUACAAACACCCAAAGCAACAUCUCGACAGUGAACUGCAGGGGUCAGGCAUGAGUGACAUUCAGAUCACCCAGCAGGCAGCCUCCUGGCUCUCCCCAGUGACCACCUCCGCCGCCUGCAAGCACCCCUCAGUGAUGGGAAGAGUGGGGCCCACACAGAUGCAAGGGAGAAGGGUGCUCUUCCCAGUAGAGGAUACCUAUAUAGAUGCACAUUUAUUCCUUCAAAGGGGUUUAAUGGUUUGCGUGCAGUUGUGAACAGCUUUAAAGCUUAGUGUUUCUAAUGAGUUGUUUAUUACUGUGGACCUUCAAUUUGCCACACACUGAGCAGGCUAUAAAUAUUGUUCCUCUGUAAAUUAUUGAUAAAAUCAACCUCUUUUAUCACUUUCUUGCCUGAUGUAAACUAUUUUGAGCUUUAUGUCCUACAGAUGCUUUUAACCACCUCUGCUACCCUUGCACACACAAACCAAAUAUUUGCUUUUAUGCUACUGUGGAAAUGAUUUUGCUGUGGCUACAGUGAAUUCCCUCUAAUUUUUUACAGUGGGUACCAAUAGCCAAUACCAAAGUAGCUUUGUUAUUGCCUAACAAAAGGCUAGCAUGCUUUAGCUUUAAAAAUCAUAUCUAUCCUAUUGUUCUUUUUAUCUCGGCUUGUUUUCUUCUGUAGUUAAUUAUUUUCUAAUAGACAAAAUAAACCCCAUUAGUACUAACAAGAGAAAGUCAGAUUAAGGGCUCACAAAAGCUUGCAUCUCAAUGUUAACGUUAUUGUGUGAGCAGGAAUUUAUCAAUUUGGAAUUAAAAAUUAAUCACCAAAAGCGUUUUAGGAGCAUGAUUCACACUCAAACCAAAAUACCAGAGUGUUUAUUUUAUUCCAUGGAGAAGACAGAUGUCUUUAUCUUAACUCUGUGGGAAUUACAGUGGAUAAUAGAAAGGAGUAUGACUUUAACAAAGCUAAAUUUGAACCAUCACAAGUGAUCAUUUCAUCUCUUUUUAUUUCUUUCUUCUUUUUGCCUUCCUCAGUGUGACAUGGCUCAGACAAAAAUAGCAGGAUAAUGUCACAGAUGUUCUCUUACACCAAUCACCAGCUAUUGCUUAUCCAAAUGAUGUUUUAAUACAAACACACAUCUACUCAUUCUGUUUUAUCGCUGUCAAAUUUUGUUUCAAAUUUAAUAAACGGAGAAGUGUGAG